CAGGGCGUAGCUAUAACAAAAGCACUCAGCUUACACCUGAAAGAUAUCUGCCAUCCAUCAGAUCGCCUUGA
rnacentral:tRNA from 1 species